rnacentral:rRNA from 1 species
UACGUAGGGGGUAAGCGUUAUCCGGAUUUACUGGGUGUAAAGGGAGCGUAGACGGCAGAGCAAGUCUGAAGUGAAAGCCCGCGGCCCAACUGCGGGACUGCUUUGGAAACUGCCCGGCUAGAGUGCUGGAGAGGUAAGCGGAAUUCCUAGUGUAGCGGUGAAAUGCGUAGAUAUUAGGAGGAACACCAGUGGCGAAGGCGGCUUACUGGACAGUAACUGACGUUGAGGCUCGAAAGCGUGGGGAGCAAACAGG